GAUGAACGCUGGCGGCGUGCCUAAUGCAUGCAAGUCGAGCGAACGGACGAGAAGCUUGCUUCUCUGAUGUUAGCGGCGGACGGGUGAGUAACACGUGGAUAACCUACCUAUAAGACUGGGAUAACUUCGGGAAACCGGAGCUAAUACCGGAUGAUAUUUUGAACCGCAUGGUUCAAAAGUGAAAGACGGUCUUGCUGUCACUUAUAGAUGGAUCCGCGCUGCAUUAGCUAGUUGGUAAGGUAACGGCUUGCCAAGGCAACGAUGCAUAGCCGACCUGAGAGGGUGAUCGGCCACACUGGAACUGAGACACGGUCCAGACUCCUACGGGAGGCAGCAGUAGGGAAUCUUCCGCAAUGGGCGAAAGCCUGACGGAGCAACGCCGCGUGAGUGAUGAAGGUCUUCGGAUCGUAAAACUCUGUUAUUAGGGAAGAACAUAUGUGUAAGUAACUGUGCACAUCUUGACGGUACCUAAUCAGAAAGCCACGGCUAACUACGUG
rnacentral:rRNA from 1 species